UUUAGAACGCUCGACCCGUUUUGGCGACCCGACGACCAGCGACGGCGACCCGGUUGUUUCUCCUCUUUCAGGCGACGUCAAGGUGGUGCACGGGUCAUGUUCGACGCGUCUCCUCGCCGUGGUCCAUCCUGUGGUCACGGAUCGUCCAUGCAUGGAGCGAGGAGUCUCAAUCAAAGCCCGAAAGCUUCGGAUUUUCCGGCGAUCUUCGGGGCUGCAUGAGAUAUUGAAAUCGAUCCUCUCGUUUUCGGGUACCGGCGGAGCCGCUGUCCUCUUUGGUCGUUCUAUGCUUCUGGGUUCAUAUCCGACGUUUUGAAGCAUGACUUGAUGCUUGGGCGGGCUCGAAUCAUUCAGUUGGCUGAAAUGAAGAGUUUGGUGUCGAGAUUUGGUGAAGCGGUGGAGGAAGUGAACAAAGGGAGGACCCUGAGUUCAUUGUUGUUAAGGAAGCCAGCAAUUUAAGGACCAUCCCUUGCUUUUGUAAAGUAAAGGACUCCAGAUACCUGAGGAACGGAAGGUUCGUGACUCUAAGAAUACAUGAAGAAGAGCAUCAAAAUCCAGGUAGGGAAUUCGAGACUCUCCUCGAUUAGUGAUUUUCCUAUAAAUUGUUGUUUUAAAAUGAUGCAUGUUAGUCAUGUGGUUUCGUUAUGUUAAAAUGCAAUGCGUUGAACCGUGAGAGAUGUGAUGGCUUGAGAGCAAAGGGUGACACUGACUUCCUUGGAUUCGAUCCCCUUAACCUCCAGAGAAUUAGCUACACCGGUCAGACGGUACGCGAUUGCAAUGACAACCCGAUUCCGUGUGUGUAGCUAAGCAGUGGACGCUCUCGCUAUGCUUACCUGGUUAUAAAUUAAUUUGAGUGUGGAUGCAGGUACCGUGCACUGGUGACGGGAUUGACAGACGGAGCAGGGUGUGCGGAGAUAGCUUUGGUGAAUAGUUGUAACUGAAAUCAGGUUCCGUGUUAAGUCUUGAACUCCAUAUCGCGAAAGUCCUUAUUCUGGAAUUUGAAUAGUCCUCAUUUCAUCUUGUAUCUAAAUGUGCCAAGUCUUGUUAUGCUAGUGAUGAAUUAGAACCACUUUAGACGAGUUAUUAAAUGAUUUAAAGAGUUUUCACCUCAAAAGUAUUUCGACGUUUCCGCUACGCGUUUUACGAAAAGUUAUUUAAUAAAAAUGUCUUGCGGGUUUCUAGGAUGUAAACCGAACACUCGGUUUAUGUCUUUGGGACACAUGGCACUGUGACGUGCUCAAACUAAUGAGGUGCAGUUUGGGGCGUUACAGAAUGCGUCGUAUAGAAACAAUACUUGAACUAAGCCCCGU